AUACGUAGGGUGCGAGCGUUGUCCGGAAUUACUGGGCGUAAAGAGCUCGUAGGUGGUUUGUCGCGUCGUCUGUGAAAUUCCGGGGCUUAACUCCGGGCGUGCAGGCGAUACGGGCAUAACUUGAGUACUGUAGGGGAGACUGGAAUUCCUGGUGUAGCGGUGAAAUGCGCAGAUAUCAGGAGGAACACCGGUGGCGAAGGCGGGUCUCUGGGCAGUACCUGACGCUGAGGAGCGAAAGCAUGGGUAGCGAACAGGAUUAGAUCCCCUGGUAGUCCAUGCCGUAAACGGUGGGCGCUAGGUGUAGGGGUCUUCCACGACUUCUGUGCCGUAGCUAACGCAUUAAGCGCCCCGCCUGGGGAGUACGGCCGCAAGGCUAAAACUCAAAUGAAUUGACGGGG
rnacentral:rRNA from 1 species